UACGUAGGGGGCAAGCGUUAUCCGGAUUUACUGGGUGUAAAGGGGGCGCAGACGGCGAUGCAAGCCAGGAGUGAAAGCCCGGGGCCCAACCCCGGGACUGCUCUUGGAACUGCGUGGCUGGAGUGCAGGAGGGGCAGGCGGAAUUCCUGGUGUAGCGGUGAAAUGCGCAGAUAUCAGGAGGAACACCGGUGGCGAAGGCGGCCUGCUGGACUGCAACUGACGUUGAGGCCCGAAAGCGUGGGGAGCAAACAGG
rnacentral:rRNA from 1 species